rnacentral:rRNA from 1 species
CCUACGGGCGGCAGCAGUGAGGAAUAUUGGUCAAUGGGCGGGAGCCUGAACCAGCCAAGCCGCGUGAGGGAAGAAGGUACAGCGUAUCGUAAACCUCUUUUGUCAGGGAACAAAGGCGGGGACUAGUCCCCGGAUGAGGGUACCUGAAGAAAAAGCAUCGGCUAACUCCGUGCCAGCAGCCGCGGUAAUACGGGGGAUGCGAGCGUUAUCCGGAUUUAUUGGGUUUAAAGGGUGCGCAGGCGGCCUGUUAAGUCAGCGGGAAAAGCCCGGGGCUCAACCCCGGCGAGCCGUUGAGACUGGCGGGCUGGAGUUGGAGAGAAGUACGCGGAAUGCGCGGUGUAGCGGUGAAAUGCUUAGAUAUCGCGCAGAACCCCGAUUGCGAAGGCAGCGUACCGGCUCCACACUGACGCUGAGGCACGAAAGCGUGGGUAUCGAACAGGAUUAGAUACCCCUGUAGUC